rnacentral:tRNA from 1 species
CUGGGUGUAGCUCAGUGGCAGAGCACCCGGUUUGGAGCCGGGAGGCCGGGAUUUCGAAACUCCCCACCCAGACCA